UUUUCAUGGAGAGUUUGAUCCUGGCUCAGGACGAACGCUGGCGGCGUGCUUAACACAUGCAAGUCGAACGGAAAGGCCCAGCUUGCUGGGUACUCGAGUGGCGAACGGGUGAGUAACACGUGGGUGAUCUGCCCUGGACUCUGGGAUAAGCCUGGGAAACUGGGUCUAAUACCGGAUAUUCACUUUCUCUCGCAUGGGGGUUGGUGGAAAGCUUUUGCGGUUCAGGA
rnacentral:rRNA from 1 species